UAAUACCAGCUCCUCGAGUGGUCGGGACGAUUAUUGGGCCUAAAGCAUCCGUAGCCGGUUUCGUAGGUCUCCUGUUAAAUUCAACCGCUUAACGGUUGGGCCGCAGGAGAUACCGCGAGACUAGGAGGCGAGAGAGGCGGACGGUACUCCGCAGGUAGGGGUAAAAUCCUUUGAUCUGCGGAAGACCACCAGAUUGUCUGCGGGUAUCUGCCGCAGGCAAGGUGAAUGGCGAAGGCGGUCCGCCAGAACGCGCUCGACGGUGAGGGAUGAAAGCUGGGGGAGCGAACCGGAUUAGAUACCCGGGUAGUCCCAGCCGUAAACGAUGCGAGCUAGAUGAUCCGAUCGCAGUUCGCGAUCGGAGUGUCGCAGGGAAGCCGUUAAGCUCGCCGCCUGGGGAGUACGGUCGCAAGGCUGAAACUUGAAGGAAU
rnacentral:rRNA from 1 species